GAACGAAGCCAAAAGGAAGCUUGCUUUCUUUGAAGCUUAGUGGCGGACGGGUGAGUAACGCGUGAGGAACCUGCCCUUCAGUGGGGAAUAACAGCCGGAAACGGCUGCUAAUACCGCAUAACGUCAUCGGACCGCAUGAUCUGAUGACCAAAGGAUUUAUUCGCUGAAGGAUGGCCUCGCGUCCGAUUAGGCAGUUGGUGAGGUAACGGCCCACCAAACCUAUGAUCGGUAGCCGAACUGAGAGGAAGGUCCCCCACACUGGUACUGAGACACGGACCAGACUCCUACGGGAGGCAGCAGUGAGGAAUAUUGGUCAAUGGACGGUAGUCUGAACCAGCCAAGUCGCGUGCGGGAUGAAGGCCCUCCGGGUCGUAAACCGCUUUAGCCGGGGAGUAACGUGCGGAACGUGUUCCGCAGUGAGAGUACCCGGAGAAUAAGCAUCGGCUAACUCCGUGCCAGCAGCCGCGGUAAUACGGAGGAUGCGAGCGUUAUCCGGAUUUAUUGGGUUUAAAGGGUGCGCAGGCGGCGAGUCAAGUCAGCGGUCAAAAUUCGGCGCUCAACGCCGUACCGCCGUUGAAACUGGCGCGCUCGAGUUUGUGCGAGGAUGGCGGAAUGCGCGGUGUAGCGGUGAAAUGCAUAGAUAUCGCGCAGAACCCCGAUUGCGAAGGCAGCUGUCCAGCACACUACUGACGCUCAUGCACGAAAGCGUGGGUAUCGAACAGGAUUAGAUACCCUGGUAGUCCACGCGGUAAACGAUGAUAACUAGUUAUCCGGUCAGAUUGGUGACUGGGUGACCGAGCGAAAGCGUUAAGUUAUCCACCUGGGGAGUACGCCGGCAACGGUGAAACUCAAAGGAAUUGACGGGGGCCCGCACAAGCGGAGGAACAUGUGGUUUAAUUCGAUGAUACGCGAGGAACCUUACCCGGGCUCAAACGCAAGGCGCUACACCCUGAAAGGGGUGGUUCUUCGGACGUCUUGCGAGGUGCUGCAUGGUUGUCGUCAGCUCGUGCCGUGAGGUGUCGGCUUAAGUGCCAUAACGAGCGCAACCCCCAUCUUCAGUUGCCAACGGGUCGAGCCGGGCACUCUGGAGAGACUGCCGGCGCAAGCUGUGAGGAAGGCGGGGAUGACGUCAAAUCAGCACGGCCCUUACGUCCGGGGCGACACACGUGUUACAAUGGCGGGGUCACAGAGGGAAGCCAGGCGGCGACGCCGAGCGGAUCCCGAAAACCCGUCUCAGUUCGGAUCGGAGUCUGCAACCCGACUCCGUGAAGCUGGAUUCGCUAGUAAUCGCGCAUCAGCCAUGGCGCGGUGAAUACGUUCCCGG
rnacentral:rRNA from 1 species